GCUUAGUGGUGGGGUGACUGCGUACCUUUUGUAUAAUGGGUCAGCGACUUAUAUUCUGUAGCAAGGUUAACCGAAUAGGGGAGCCGGAGGGAAACCGAGUCUUAAUUGGGCGUUAAGUUGCAGGGUAUAGACCCGAAACCCGGUGAUCUAGCCAUGGGCAGGUUGAAGGUUGGGUAACACUAACUGGAGGACCGAACCGACUAAUGUUGAAAAAUUAGCGGAUGACCUGUGGCUGGGGGUGAAAGGCCAAUCAAACCGGGAGAUAGCUGGUUCUCCCCGAAAGCUAUUUAGGUAGCGCCUCGUGAAUUCAUCUCCGGGGGUAGAGCACUGUUUCGGCUAGGGGGCCAUCCCGGCUUACCAACCCGAUGCAAACUGCGAAUACCGGAGAAUGUUAUCACGGGAGACACACGGCGGGUGCUAACGUCCGUCGUGAAGAGGGAAACAACCCAGACCGCCAGCUAAGGUCCCAAAGUCAUGGUUAAGUGGGAAACGAUGUGGGAAGGCCCAGACAGCCAGGAUGUUGGCUUAGAAGCAGCCAUCAUUUAAAGAAAGCGUAAUAGCUCACUGGUCGAGUCGGCCUGCGCGGAAGAUGUAACGGGGCUAAACCAU
rnacentral:rRNA from 1 species